rnacentral:rRNA from 1 species
UACGGGGGGGGCAAGCGUUGUUCGGAAUUACUGGGCGUAAAGGGCGCGUAGGCGGCGCGAUAAGUUGGGCGUGAAAGGCCCGGGCUCAACCCGGGGACUGCGCUUGAUACUGUCGCGCUGUGAGUCCGGGAGAGGAUGGCGGAAUUCCAGGUGUAGCGGUGAAAUGCGUAGAUAUCUGGAGGAACACCGGUGGCGAAGGCGGCGUCCUGGACCAACACUGACACUGAGGAGCGAAAGCCAGGGGAGCAAACGGG